UUUUAUUAUGAGAGUUUGAUCCUGGCUCAGGACGAACGCUGGCGGCGUGCCUAAUACAUGCAAGUCGAACGCUUCUUUUCUACCGA
rnacentral:rRNA from 1 species